GGGAACCUCCCUGGUUGGAUAAGCUCCAGGGGCAACUCUCUGAUUCUUUUCAUCAAGAGUCACAGAAGUUAAAUUCAGAAAAUCAGACUCUUUUCAUCAAGAGUCACAGAAGUUAAAUUCAGAAAAUCAGAUUACACUGGUUAGAGUGUACUGAAGAAGCAUCCUGGAUUUUCUGCUCAUGUGGGUAAGCAAUCAAUGGGAAGGCUGGAUUGUAACCCAUUCACUGUCCUUAUCAAGAGUGUUGAUAUCCAAAACCUGGCUUUGCCACUCACUAAUAGUGUGACCUCACACGUGUUAUCUAGCCUUUAUGUUUCCUCAGCUACUAACUAUAUUGGCUAUAAGAACUUGUAUUCUCUCAUGUUUCUUAUGAGGUGAAAAUGAGACACUGUUUGAUAGCAUUCAGUACCAUGUGUGCUUAUUGUGUGCUGAAUAAACCCUAGUAGUACCGGUUGUUCAAUAACUAGUAUUUGUAACCAGUCUUUUCACAGUUAACAGCAGCCUGCUCUGUAGGGUCAUAUUUAUUUGAAAUUAUUUAGAGUCACCAUUGCAAGGAGGAGAUGAGAAGGGAAGAAAAGGAUCAGGAGACAAAGGAUAGGAAAGCUGAUGGACAAUGCUUGAGGAUGCUCGGGGACCACAUCACUAUGUGUAGGAACACAUUAGCCUAAGAGGCUGCUGACAGUCAGGAUGGCUUUCCCAGGAGGCAGCAGGGCCUCACAGAUGAGGGGAGGAGCACCCAGACCUGGGCCAGUGGUGAUGGGUAAAGGAGGACAGGAGCCAUAACUUAUCUGCAAGGUCAUUUAAUAUGCCCUGUGCUUGGCAGGGCACAGGCAUGGUUGGUGGAAGGUGGGGGGUGACUCCUUCUUCACUUCUGCUUUAUCAAGAUUCCAAACCAUCUCCCCUCUGACCAGGAGCAGCCAGCCCUACAUUCCAACUGCUGUGAGAAGGAGAGGCAAGCUGGAUGUAUUUAUCAUGCAAACAAUUGCAAAUUUUCCGCUUGGCCUGCCCCAGCCCCACCAUCCCACCCACACACAGACAUAUACUUCCAUCCCUUCUGGACAAUUUUAUUUUGCUCUGAUGGCUUUAAGAAUCAUUAUUUCUCUUGUGCUUUCUACUGAGAAAGACAAAAAAGAGAAGUCUUAAUCCUCAACUUAGGCUGUGGCUUCUAAUUAUCUUAUUAAAACCAUUUGGGUUCCUUAAGCCUUUUCUGUUGGUGGCCCUAGGACAAUCAUCCUACUUUCUGAUGUCAAUUUUCAGGGAAGUCUUAAUACCUGCUGAUGAAUACGAGGUGAAGGGAACUUUGCUUUUAAAACUAUUUAUCAAAACAUUAUUCUCACAUAACAAAAUAGUCUUGACUUUAAGAGGUCAGCAGGGGAAGGGCAAUUUUGAAGGUUUAUUCUUUACAGUGGAAGCCCACAUGUCGUAGAUCUAGGAAAUAGGAAGAUUUGCAGAAGCCAAGCUUAUUUUUAAAUAAAACAAUAAUUAAAAAAACCACCUCUGUUGUUAGUCUGAAGGCAGCUUACCUUCUCAUUUGUCAAACAUGUGAGCCUUAUUGUCAACAAAAUGAGAAACUGGUAUAGGACAAGGGAGAAGAGAAGAUAUUUAUUUCAAAGCAGAUAAUAAGGAUCUUUUUCUAAUGUGAUUACCAGUGCUACAACUCCCCAGUGGUAGACAGUGCAACAGAAAUCUGAGUCAUUGUAUGGCAGCCUCUUUGGAUCAAAUUUUCAAAAUUAUCCAAGCAGGUAUGGGUUAAGAUGGGAAAGUAACAUCAUUAGAAGCCUCCUCGGUCCACAAAAUAGACCAACCUGAGAAGCCCAGUUACCCACAAGAUGUCCCUGACACCUUAUCUGCCGUAUAUGACUAUUAUGUCCCCUCAUCUGUUUGUUUAGCUUUGUCUUAUAAACCCCUUCUCUCUCAACAUUUGUGCUUAUAUCAUAUUUAAUUACAUCUUUGACUUCCCCAAGCCAUCUUGUCUCUAACACUUCCAGGUUGGCUCUAUCCAUGCUCUCCACCUUCUGACUCAACCCUCUCCCUCUCGCCUACCCAGCAAAUUCAGCACAAAUACCAUCUCCUCUAUGAAACCUUUCCUUACCCUGACAAACAGCCUUAUAUCCUUCCUUUAUGCUAUUUCUGCACAGCUCAAUUGAGCCUCAUUCACCAUCAAUCAGUGUCAAAAAGUGGUAGAAAGAAUAAUAUCUUAAAACAUUGUAUCUUUAUAUAUCUCCAAGUAUACAUCAUUUAGGUUUAUGGACUCCUGGAGAUUUCUUUUGUACAUGUGGAGAAACUGAGGCAGAGUGCUAUUUUUAGUCUCAAGAAGUUAUGUACCAAAGGGAAUGUAAAUUAAUAUUUUAGCAUGCUGGACAAUCCUUAUUUGCAUAUCACCUGUAGUGAGUGAGCCCCAAAAGAAAUGUAUAAGAAACUUACCUCCUAGACCCAAAUCAACACCAAAGCAGUGAAUCCAUUUAAUUCAAUUGAUUAUACAUUGACUCAUCUCCUACUAGGAGCUGGCAUUAUACAGACUGCUGGCUUGGGGGAUCUACCCAAAGCUCCAAGAUGAGGUCUUGACCUCACAGAGCUAUACAUUGAAUGAGGCUGUAGACAAGGCAACUGUAUAUCCUAUUUCAGGUAAAUGCUAAUACUGGAGGGAUUUUUUUUUUCCUGACAGUUAUACAAAUAAUAUUUCUUAUGGUAUCCAUCUACUGUCCCUAGUUCUUCCCCCCGGCAGGACCCACAAAAAGUUCAAAUUCUUUAUAAUACAACAGUAUAACAUUCUUUUUUUCAAAUGAGCAUUCUUAGGCUACUCUGCCCUUUGCCUCAAGCCAUCUCUUCUUUCAUGAAACAAGAGUCUUCCAGUUCUUUCCUAUUCUAAAACCAAGGCUUCCACACCCUGGCCACCCUUUUCUGGCUCCCUUGGUCAGUGUUACUCUUGGAGUAGGUUGCCCAGCUCAGACCCAGUGUGUAGCUGUGGUCUGAGCCAUGCUUUCAGGCCCCAUCUUCCUCACCAGUCACUUUCAAAAUCCAUCUCUCUAAGGCACUGGCAGUUUUUUUGGAAAGUCUUGGAUCAUGAUUCUGCAUAUUAAAUAGCUACAUAUUAGACCCCUUUCUUAUUCCUGUCGUGCAGAAACUCGAUAGGAAUAUCAUCGUUGUUUUUAUAAGUCCAUAAUAAACAUUCAAGCAGGAUAAAAUCAAUGUGCAGCCUCUGUCAGGAAGCAAUGAUUUCUACCCUGAGAGUCAUGGGCCAGGAAGGAAGGUGGAGUAUUAACAUAAAGUUGCUAAUAUUUUACUUUGACAAGUAAGGAUGUUAUUUAUUUAUUAUAAAAAG
rnacentral:lncRNA from 1 species